GUCGCCUCCUAAAAGGUAACGGAGGCGCUCAAAGGUUCCCUCAGAAUGGUUGGAAAUCAUUCAUAGAGUGUAAAGGCAUAAGGGAGCUUGACUGCGAGACCUACAAGUCGAGCAGGGUCGAAAGACGGACUUAGUGAUCCGGUGGUUCCGCAUGGAAGGGCCAUCGCUCAACGGAUAAAAGCUACCCCGGGGAUAACAGGCUUAUCUCCCCCAAGAGUUCACAUCGACGGGGAGGUUUGGCACCUCGAUGUCGGCUCAUCGCAUCCUGGGGCUGUAGUCGGUCCCAAGGGUUGGGCUGUUCGCCCAUUAAAGCGGUACGCGAGCUGGGUUCAGAACGUCGUGAGACAGUUCGGUCCCUAUCCGUCGUGGGCGUAGGAAAUUUGAGAGGAGCUGUCCUUAGUACGAGAGGACCGGGAUGGACAUACCUCUGGUGUACCAGUUGUCGUGCCAACGGCAUAGCUGGGUAGCUAUGUGUGGACGGGAUAAGUGCUGAAAGCAUCUAAGCAU
rnacentral:rRNA from 1 species